UCUCAUGGUUCUUUUGAUUUGCAUUAACCUGAUGACUAAGGAUGUCGAACAUUUCUUUAUGUGCUUCUCAGCCAUUGAGCAUUCCUCAGUUGAUAAUUCUUUGUUUAGCUCUGUACUCCAUUUUUUAAUACGAUUAUUUGAUUCUCUGGAGUCUAACUCCUUGAGUUCUUUGUAUACAUUAGAUAUUUUGCCUACAUUGAUAUAUGUGCACUGCGUGCAUUAUUGGUGCCCGUAGAAGUCAGAGAAAAGCUUCAGAUCCCCUAUAACUGACAUCAUCUAUAGUUGUGAGCCACCAAGUCAUUGCUGGAAAUCAAACCAUGUCCUCGGCAAGAGCAAGUAUUCUUAAAUACCAAACCAUCUCUUUAGCCAUAAAAGCUCAAUAUUCAAGGAGUUUUCUUCAAUACUGAAAAAACUGUCCUAUUGGAUGUUCAAUACCUAUAGUGGGAAACCUGUAACAAUAUGGACAAAGACCAAAGGAAUAUUAUUUUAGACCCUACUUCAGGUCAGUUAAGUCCCAAGGGAUUAGAGAAUGCUUUGAAAGUUCUCCAUAUCUGGUAAGACCCCUGACCUCUAGAUCAGUGAGGUUGUGAGAAGGAAGAACCAUAGGAAUGUUAUGUUUACAAUCAAGGUGCUCUAUAAGGUAGAAUGUUAAUAUUAUUUCAGGGCAGUUAUGGAGAUGAAUAUUCAAAUUCCUUACUGUUUGAAGUUGUCAUUCAGAACAUCUUUUAUUCUCUUGCCUGAAUUUAUUUCUAAUUUUUUUUCAUGUUACUAUAAAUGAGAUUUUGUCCCUG
rnacentral:lncRNA from 1 species